AACCUGCCCAAGAGAUCGGGAUAACACCUGGAAACAGAUGCUAAUACCGGAUAACAACAGAUGGUGCCUAUCAACUGUUUAAAAGAUGGUUCUGCUAUCACUCUUGGAUGGACCUGCGGUGCAUUAGCUAGUUGGUAGGGUAACGGCCUACCAAGGCGAUGAUGCAUAGCCGAGUUGAGAGACUGAUCGGCCACAUUGGGACUGAGACACGGCCCAAACUCCUACGGGAGGCAGCAGGA
rnacentral:rRNA from 1 species